rnacentral:lncRNA from 1 species
UUGGUCUUCUCGGUUACAUUUGUCAAAAUUACAAAAGUGUCAAAAAAGAAGUUAAAGCCCUUAAUUUAAAAUUAUAUUAUUUUUGGAAUUCAAAAGAGAAGCUUACCUAACGAAUUUAUUUUUCAAUGGAGAUUAGUUAUGAUUAUUACCGCAUUUUCUCCCAAUAACACCAAACGCCGGCGUGUUAGCUCCGUAAAAUCCCUUCCAAACCUUCUACAAAAAUAAUCUUCGUCUCUUUGUCAACGUCUCUGCUUCCUCUCCAAUCUCCAUUGAUGUUUAGGUAUGUCUCAGAUUCUAACCUUUACGUUGCUUCCUCUUUCUCGUGCGCCAUACUAGUCAUUGCUCUAUGUCUAGGCUUUGUUUUUUUUUGCUCGAUGUCUCUUAACGUAACUAUGCACACAAAGCUUCAUACUUUCCCAUGUUCUUUACAUCAUCAAGGCUUAUAUGACCAUGAAAACUUUUAAUAUACAAGGAAAUGAUGGUUAACAAUUUCACUUGACAAGAAAGAAAAAAAAUGAAGUGUAUAUUUACUUAUGCAGAAUGUGUGAUAAAAGUAUAAAAAGGCAUACAAGUUACUACGUCUCUUCAUCGACUUCUUCUCUGUUACUUUGGUUUGUUGUUUCCUGCGUCUACAUCAUUAAGUCAGUCCACAACUUGUUGUAUGACUGGUCUUUUCAUAGGGUUUUGGUUCACACACAUGCAGGCUAUGUCAAGCACACGAAGCAUCUCUUUUUCCUGACCACUCUUUCUCAGCAACGGAUCAAACACCUCCUCCGGUUUCUCUUCCCUUCUCAUUUGAUGCACCCAUGCCACUAUUUCUCUCGACAUCUUUGGUCUGAAAACCUCCAUUGGUCUUUCCCCUGUGAGAAGCUCGAACAUUACGACGCCAAAACUGUACACGUCCCCUCUCAGAGUGGCUACCCAUGCUUGUCCGUACUCUGAGGGAAUGUAACCCAAUGUUGCAUUAAAAAGACAUUAAGGUUGGAGGUUGCGCGUCUCUGCUAGCUGAUUUCUUCCUUGUCUUGGAUUUGUGUCAUUCUGUGGUUAUAAAUCUGAAUUGUGAACGUUUUUGGUUGGUUCCAAAACCUCUAGCUUAUCUCUUGUAUGCUGUUUCCCUUCAACAUGGGUUAGGGUUUGGGCUACCCUACCUGCUUAUUUGCUUCACUUUUUUUUUUUGGUCAAAAC